rnacentral:rRNA from 1 species
UACGAAGGGUGCAAGCGUUGUUCGGAAUCAUUGGGCGUAAAGCGCGCGCAGGCGGAUCAGCAAGUCAGAUGUGAAAUCUCGAAGCUCAACUUCGAAACUGCGUCUGAAACUGCUAGUCUAGAAUGUCGGAGGGGGCAGGGGAAUUUCACGUGUAGGGGUAAAAUCCGUAGAGAUGUGAAGGAACACCGGGGGCGAAGGCGCCUGCCUGGACGACUAUUGACGCUGAGGCACGAAAGCGUGGGGAGCAAACAGG